rnacentral:rRNA from 1 species
AUUCCAGCUCCAAUAGCGUAUAUUUAAGUUGCUGCAGUUAAAAAGCUCGUAGUCGGUUUUCGGGCGGGUUGCGCCGGUCUGCCUUUGGUAUGCACUGGCGUGACCCGCUUUUCUGUCGGGGACGUGCUGCUGGGCUUCACUGUCCGGCACUCGGAGUCGACGCUGUUACCUUGAGUAAAUUGGAGUGUUCAAAGCAGGCAUACGCUCUGAACAUAUUAGCAUGGAAUAACGAUAUAGGACUCUGGCCUAUUCGUUGGUCUGUGGGACCGGAGUAACGACCAAUGGGGGCAGUCGGGGGCAUUCGUAUUUCGUUGUCAGAGGUGAAAUUCUUGGAUUUACGAAAGACGAACUGCUGCGAAAGCGUUUGCCAAGGAUGCUUUCAUUA